GAUGAACGCUGGCGGCGUGCCUAAUACAUGCAAGUCGAGCGAACAGACGAGGAGCUUGCUCCUCUGACGUUAGCGGCGGACGGGUGAGUAACACGUGGAUAACCUACCUAUAAGACUGGGAUAACUUCGGGAAACCGGAGCUAAUACCGGAUAAUAUAUUGAACCGCAUGGUUCAAUAGUGAAAGACGGUUUUGCUGUCACUUAUAGAUGGAUCCGCGCCGCAUUAGCUAGUUGGUAAGGUAACGGCUUACCAAGGCGACGAUGCGUAGCCGACCUGAGAGGGUGAGAAGCAGCACGGGAAGGGAGACAGGGGCGAGAGGACGACGGGAGGCAGCAGGAGGGAAUAGUGAGCAAGGGGAGAAAGCAUGAACAAGCAAUAAAGAGGGAGGAAGGAAGGACUCAGGGUCGUAAAAUGUGUGUGUAGGGAAAGAAAAGAAGCGGAGUGAUAACGCGCUGGCGGGACGGGAACGAAUGAGGAAGAAACGGCUAAUGUAGUG
rnacentral:rRNA from 1 species